AGCAGCCGCGGUAAUUCCAGCUCCAAUAGCGUAUAUUAAAGUUGUUGCAGUUAAAAAGCUCGUAGUUGAAUUUCGGGACCAAUAUGUCGGUCGUGCCUCGGUACGUACUGGUGUUAUUGGUUUCUCUCUUCUGAGGAUCCUUGAUGUCAUUAAUUUGGUGUCUUGGGAAAUCAGGACUGUUACCUUAGAAAAAUUAGAGUGUUUAAAGCAGGCAUACGCUUGAAUACAUUAGCAUAGGAAUAAUGAAAUAGGACGUUCGAUUCUAUUUUGUUGGUUUCUAGGAUCGACGUAAUGAUUAAUAGGGAUA
rnacentral:rRNA from 1 species